rnacentral:lncRNA from 1 species
CUCCUUGAAAAACAAUGCCAGACAAAACUUUAAAUUAUAAGCACAAAGCCAUCAGUCAAGCUUUCUGAAAUUGAGCCAAAGAACAAAACUCUGAAGUAGAGAUCAUGGACAUGUUGUACCCUCAGCUCAGAUCACAGAAUACCGGGGGCCAGCAUCGUGCAGGUCAAGGCUCAGGGCCGGAAUGGCAUCUCUCCAUUGUGUUAAUGUGUUCAGAUACUGCGCAUCUGGCCUGGUUCAUGAAGAAACAGAAAAAGGUCAGGACUUCAAUUCUUUGUCUCUAUUACUGCUCUGUUUAUGUGACAAACGUCGUGGGGCUCUUCUCUAUUCAUGUCAUUUAGUAAGAAAAGUACCACCUUUUCUCCUUCCAACAAAGUAGACUAAAAAGGGAGGAAAAGCUAGGUCAACUUUCUCAAAGUCUCAGGAAAUGAGAAACCACAAGCAAAAUGUGUUAAGGCCUUUCUGGGGGUGCUGAGAGCUUUGCUUUUCCUGAUAGAUCUCUGGGGAGGGAGGGGUGCGUGCUGUGCAUUCUGUUCUCUUCCGAGGAUCAAACGUGGCUGUGCAAACUCACCUGGGAAGCCCUCUGCCAGCGCUGCUGUCAUCCUGGGGACAGCGAGGCCAGGCUUUCUCUCGGGAUGAGGCAGCACUGGCAUUGGCCAAGUACAGAACUCCUACCAGACGGAGCAUCACAGGGCUACAGGUGCCAGGACCCCACACCACAGCCGCAGACAUGGCUCAGGCAGCCCACCUAGGGGAAGGGGCCCUGUGUUCCACUGGGGGCUCUCAGGGAAGGCAGGAAGCUCCCCAGGCACCACCUCUCCAGCGGCACAGACAAGCACAAGGCUCCCAGCAUGGAGGAAACGUGGUGCUGACUCACCCAGGAGGGACUCAGCUAGCUGUGCACAGUUCUGCUGAAUCCUUGCUUCACAAAGUCCCAGCAUCUGACUCAGCAGUGCUGGGGUCUGAGUCGCCAGCCGCAUGUCCACCCAGGAGGAGGACCAGAACCCAGAGCCUGGGAGAGCCAGGAGUAAGGCGCUGGGUCUGGCCAUGUGAGAUGCAGAUUUGCCAGAAGUCAUACCAUGUCUCCCAAAACACCUGCCUCGCCCUCGGUCUCUUCUCUGCCUCUGCGACUUUCAAAUAAAAUGAAAGCAAACAGAAACUGCUGCAUCCCAUAUCCAAGAGCACGGAUUCCUGGCUGUCCAUUCCCAAUUCCAGCUUCCUGUUAAUGCACAUCCUAAGAGGUAGCAAGUGAUGGCUCCAGUAUUUGGGCCCUGUGACUUCCAUGGGAGACCAGAAUGGAGUUACAGACUCCUGGCUUUGGCCUGGCCCAUCUCUGGCUGGUGAUGGUAUUUGGGGAGUGAACCAGCAGGUCAAAGAUCUUUCUGUUUCUUUCUCUCUCCCACUCCCUAUCUCUGUCUCUCCAUCUAGCCAAUAAAAUCGUAAUAAGCAAAUAGAAAUUCA